GGCCAUGCAGUUUGUUUAAUUGAGAAUCCCACUGAAGAAAAUAGGCACAGGAUCAGUAAAUAUUCACAGACUGAAUCACAACAGAUUCGUUAUUUCACCCACCAUAGUGUAAAAUAUUUCUGGAAUGAUACCAUUCACAAUUUUGAUUUCUUAAAGUAAGUAUCUUCCUUUUGUUUGGAUUGUAUUUUGAAUAUCCUGAAAACGUUCUAGAUAGAAAAGAGUCCAUUCUAGUAUUCAUAAAAUUGCUGAGGUUUUAUUUUAUAAUUUCUAUUCACGUAUUAAUUAACAACUCCCUGUUGCUGUUUGAAGGCUCAUUAGCCAUUUUAAAAUAAGUCCCACCGCAGCUUGCACCAUGGCAGAGUUUACAUGAAACUUAGAGUCAGUAUGAUGCCAAAGUCUACUGAGUCUGAGUUCUUACCUGUUUCACCUCAAAGUGAUUUUGAGUAUACCUCAUAGCCUGUGUCUCAACUUAGAGUAUCUGAAUCAUUACCUGUUGGUUUACUGACACUUAAAGCCUGUGGUACUUGAGGAGUAGAGUAAUAGGCAAAGAGAAAUUUAAUUUUACUAUGUAGAUAAAGAAUGGGGCAAGCUGUA
rnacentral:lncRNA from 1 species